UACGUAGGGUGCAAGCGUUGUCCGGAAUUAUUGGGCGUAAAGAGCUCGUAGGCGGUUUGUCGCGUCUGCUGUGAAAAAUCCAAGGCUCAACCUUGGACCUGCAGUGGGUACGGGCAGACUAGAGUGCGGUAGGGGAGAUGGGAGUUCCUGGUGUAGCGGUGGAAUGCGCAGAUAUCAGGAGGAACACCGGUGGCGAAGGCGGGUCUCUGGGCAGUAACUGACGCUGGAGGAGCGAAAGCGUGGGGAGCGAACAGG
rnacentral:rRNA from 1 species